rnacentral:miRNA from 1 species
AACCCGUAGAACCGAACUUGUGCC